rnacentral:rRNA from 1 species
AUUGAACGCUGGCGGCAGGCCUAACACAUGUAAGUCGAACGAGUGGCGGACGGGAGAGUAAUGUCUGUGAAACUGACUGAUGGAGGGGGAUAACUACUGGAAACGGUAGCUAAUACCGCAUACCAUCGGAUGUGCCCGGAGGGGAUUAGCUGGUUGGUGGGGUAACGGCUCACCAAGGCGACGAUCCCUAGCUGGUCGGAGAGGAUGACCAGCCACACUGGAACUGAGACACGGUCCAGACUCCUACGGGAGGCAGCAGUGGGGAAUAUUGCACAAUGGGCGCAAGCCUGAUGCAGCCAUGCCGCGUGUAUGAAGAAGGCCUUCGGGUUGUAAAGUACUUUCAGCGGGGAGGCGUUACCCGCAGAAGAAGCACCGGCUAACUCCGUGCCAGCCGCCGCGGUAAUAC